rnacentral:misc_RNA from 1 species
CAGUUAAUGACUUAGAGCUUGUCUCCUUUUGUAAGGUUGAACAAGACUUGGGGGAUUUAGAGGAAGUUUUCUUGUUUGUCUUCAGGGGAAGAAUUUGCAACCUGGGGUUAAGCUCUGUACCUGAAUUUUCUGCAGUCAAUUGAUAGCUUUCCACAAGUUCUAGUUGCCGAGCAAUUAUUUCAGAGCAUCUGGGUAGAAGCUCCACUGGCUCUCCUCCAGGGAUAACAAUAUACUCGAUUGCAAGUCGAACCUCCUCCAAAGCAUCAAUCUCUUCCAGGGUAGGCUUCCUUUUUG